AUUGAACGCUGGCGGCAGGCCUAAUACAUGCAAGUCGAGCGGAGCUGCGGACGGGUGAGUAAUUCCUACGUAGCUGCCUGGUAGUUGGGGAUAACGUCCGUUAACGGGCGCUAAUAUCGCAUACUAUCAGAUGAGCCUAGGUGGUAUUAGCUAGUGGGUGAGGUAAAGGCCUACCAAGGCGACGAUCCGUAACUGGUCUGCGAGGAUGAUCAGUCACACUGGAACUGAGACACGGUCCAGACUCCUACGGGAGGCAGCAGUAGGGAAUAUUGGACAAUGGGCGAAAGCCUGAUCGAGCAAUGCCGCGUGUGUGAAGAAGGUCUUCGGAUUGUAAAGCACUGUAAGUUGGGAGGCGGUACCAAAAGAAUAAGCAACGGCUAACUUCGUGCCAGCCGCCGCGGUAAUAC
rnacentral:rRNA from 1 species